UGCUGGAGUGGCGGAAUGGUAGACGCACUGGACUUAAAAUCCAGUGACUUCACGGUCGUGAGGGUUCAAGUCCCUCUUCCAGCACCAU
rnacentral:tRNA from 13 species